AAGGAUAAGGAGUCUUCUAGACUGCUCCCAAAUUCCUCGCCACCGACCCUCCCCUCUCUUUCCCAGUGACAGCCGGAUUUGAAUUGGGCGAGGAUCCAUCCCCACCCGAGCUCAGAGCUCCGGCAACCAUAGCCGCCGGUAGACAGAGCUCGGAGCUCCCGUAGCCAUGGCUGCCCGUAGACAGAGCUCCGCCGUCUGGAUCUCGCGUCACCAGUCUCCUCUGCUGCCUCUCGGUCUUCCCUUGCUCUGGAUCCAGUCCACCAAGAGCCCAGCCUUGCUGCCAAGUCCAUCGCCGCCGCCUGUGUCCUAUGUCCCGACAGCACACGCCGCCACAUCUGUCCCCCUCCUCGACUGCAUCGGCUCUCCUCCAGCACGUGACCUAGGGUUGCAUGCAUGGUGGGAUGCACCAGCCUGCCAGCCUACCCCGCAGCCCCCCCGCUGACAUGGGCCCGAGGCCCAUGAGGUGAGGCAGCUGCCCCUCCUCGCCUGGCGAGGCAGCUGGAGAAGUAGCUGCGGGACCAGAGGCUGCCGUAGGAUGAGAUACUGUGGUGCUGCAGUGUCUAGUGGUUGAAGAAGGGGUGUGCUGGGAAGAGGAGUUAGUGGUGAGAGUGCUCGAUCUGGAACAGGACAAGCUUGGGCUGCACCGGUGUGUUUGCUGCUACUGAAUUUUUCCAGGGCAUUGCAGAUGUGGAGGAGUUUUUCCAGGGCUAUCUGCCUGUUCCCGGCCGCGCUGGUGUCAACUACCUCGAGCCACUAUGGCCACCCCCAACCACGCUCACCCCCCGGAACAAUAAACAAUUCUAGAGGGAAAGCACCCGACCUGUGAAACCUAGCGCCGCUAGUUUCCCUGCCCCGUCUUGCCGUCACCGGAGGGGCCGAUCGACGAAGCUUGGCUGGCUCCCGGGAUGGCGGCGGCGGGGCACUUUUCGGGCUUGUGCGCGGCGCAGGUGAGCGCGGCGUUGGCCGCUAGAUUGAGCGUAGUUCCCCACGUGGGCUGCUCGAUCUGGCGGCGGCGGCUGCUCAAUGGAGAUUGUGAUUGUUCGUAGUAGAAUGUAUGCACGAGACAUGAAUCUUGGAUUUUAUAUUGUUUUCCUCGAUGCUUGGGCUUCCUCGAACUUUUUGUAUAUUGCACACAACACAACACAUAAAUUCAUGGAUACUAAAUUUUUAAAUGAUUUGAAAUCAUGUUGUUUUCUAUUCUACUGCCAUUGGUUCAUCACUCUGAACCAAAAUCAAUUGUUGGAACUCUGGCAUAUAUUGGUCCUAAAGUUGUGCUAAAGAAAGAAUAUGACGCAAGCUAUGAUCCAGCCUAUUUGUGAUUUAAACGGUCUGCUGCAUACUCUGCCAUCUGCUGCAUACUUAAUUAUGUUUGCUCGGCCAUAAAAGCCUUACUUGAUUUCUGGAUCUUCCAUUCACCUUCCGUUGCCAUGAGUGGUGAAUGGUCUUGAGGAGUAAUCAUUUAGAUAAUGUAUGUAUUUUGCUCAAGCACUAAUAUUAUGUCUUUGAAUGGCCUAUGCGUGGAUGUGGGAUAACCCUUUCUGUGAUGUUGGUUGGUGCUUACCCUCUCGAGGAUCCAGAAGAUCCAAAAAAACGAAAUUCAGGUAUGUUGCCAGUUGCUAAGUUUAUCAAUUCAAAAGUUGUAUGUUCUAGCCAAAAAACUAAAUAGUGAGCUCAAAUGCAGAAAGUAUUGGGUGUUCAGUAUUGGAUUUUAGGCUAUGUUCAUAUCUCUAGAGUGCCGAGACCUUAUCUCAGGGAUGUUUUUUGGUAACACGAUCUCGACAUCGAUAACAGCAGAGAGAUAAUAUACGCGUUAUAAUCUUGUAAUUAUAUGUGGAGAAGUAGUUGUGGUGUUCCUUCCACCUUUAUGAAUUAGUCUGUGAAGAGGUGAAUAGUCAGGAGCCCCAUGGAGCCAAACAAAGAUUAUGUUUAGGCUACAGAUUAUAUUCAUACUACAGCUUGAGUCUGAAUUUGUGUCGAUACAUGAAAAAUGUCAUGUGUGCCAAGAAAAGUAUGUUUAGAUGCACAACCAAUUUUGGUGUGCAUUUCUUAUUUAUUUAUUUUUGAGUUGGACGUGUGCAUUUCUAAUUAGAAGUAGAAGAAGAAAGAUGUGACAUGGACUUCCUAAGAUUACAUACACAUCGUUGAAUAGUACAGUUAGAAAAAUAGUAAUAAAAUUCAAAAAUCUUACUUAUUUUGGCGUCAAAUAUGCUGGAGUGUGAUAGCUGUGCGUAGGAUUUCGUGAAGGAAUAACAUAAAUGGUGGUCUGGACAAACGAAAAUUGACUAUUUUUAAAGCUUCUUGGAGCAUUCAUUUUGUUUAAUUUUGUACAAAGCAUCACAACUAUUUUUUUCUUCAUCAAAUUUUGCACACAACCAAAAAAAUGUAAUUUUGUUGGGGAGGAGGAUUGCACAUCUCACGGAAGAUAAAGAUAUCAAUAUGGUUAGACACGAGACCUACUCCUGCACAGUUCAAUCUCAACAUGCAUCUUGUUGUUCCGUGCAGCGCACGGACAUCUUACUAGUAAGUAAAUAAAAGUGUGACGAUCAUCAUUAUUAGAGCAUUGCCCCAUUGAGGAAAGGAUGAUGGAGACUAUGAUUCCCCCACAAGUCGGGAUGAGACUUCGGACGAAAAAU